UUGAUAACUUCCUUGAUGGCAAUGGCUUUUAUUGAAUACCUAAGUAGCCUAUAUAAUUAUCUGACUUGACCUUUUAGUUACAACCUGUAUGUAUAGUUGUUGGUAUGUAGCUAGCUACCCAAUGUGUCAAAAGUUAGUGUGGCUCUUGUGAAAUGUCGCCACUGACAUUGUCAAACUCAAUUACGAGACGAGACCCCGUGUGGCUCAGUUGGUGGCGCUUGCAACGCCUGUGUUGAGUUCGAUUCCCACAGGGGGCCAGUACGAAAACGUAUGCACUAGCUAACAGAUAGCCAACUGAUGUCGCUUUGCCGUGAGCUAAAACACAGCAAACGUGUCUAACGUUAACACAUGUAUGUAUACGCAUUCUUUCACUUCAAUAUACAAAGAGAUCGGGUUGAUUAGCCACCGGGAAGCCAGACUGAUGAAUCUAGUCAGGAGCUGCUAGGAUACCCUGACCUCUGGAAUGAGGCUCUCCAAGCAGUUGACCUUCUCAUUCUGACAAACUGGUUCCCACAGGCUGAGAGGCAACUACUGGCCACUGUGCAGGAAGACAGCUUUACAACACUGAGGAGGAUCCUUCAUAAUGAAUAGUCAGUGCAUCAAUUCUGUGCUCCAAAGAGCAAAGAUGAUGAGCCAAACUCUGAUGCUCAUGGCACAUAUAGUCUGUUGGCAAGAGCUACAGGACUUCAUAAAAAGGUAUGUCAAUGUUGAAAAGAAACACCUUCAGAAACAAGCAAGAAUGGGCUUGUCAUGUACAAUGCACUUCUUCAAGACUUUCAACACCUGCAAUGAACUCAAGCAGUAUUUUCCAACGAUUUCCAGAGAUGACACAAGUUUUGACUGUGUUUAAACCAUUUCAACACUUGAGGGGAUGGAAGCUCUUGCUUUGAAGUUUCUCCUGGAAAGACCAAUUAAAUUUGCACAGGUGCAUUCCUGAAUGAAAACAUUAAGAGAAACUGGACGAUGUUACAAUGUUUUAUGAUCCCCAGAUUUUCCUGAAGAAGUAUUUCAAAAGAGAGGAUGAACAAAUGGAAAAUCAAAUGGAAGAGAUUGAAGAAAUGUUCCAGAACCUUCCCAAAGACCAGGACAUGCAGAAGAUUGUGAUUAACAAAGCCUUUCUGUACCUCCGCCCUUCUGUACCUUCAACACCUGGUGCAGAGCAACCAUGGGAAGCCGGUGAAGAGAUGGGAUUAACGUGGGCAAAGAAUGACGCAUGAUGCCGAGCUCUUUUACUCCAUAUUCUCAGGCCUGAAUUGUGAUGUUGAACAGUGGAACCUCAUACAGCUGAAAGUGAGAGAAGUACUGGAGAGCAGCGAUGUUGAAAGUCUCAAGGUAACAGUCAGUGAGAUACUGAGGGACUGCUCCAGGACAAGUACGGAGCACCUGCCAGCCCUGCUGCGUUGGAAGGGAGGCCUGUCACGGACACAGACCCGGGAGGUGCUGGAGGCAAACCAGGAGGUGUACCUGAUUUACCUGUCCCAAACAAGGUCUGGAACCUGGUACGGCUGCCUUCUCUGUUGCUGAGGGUGGGACGCCUCAGGUGGAUGACCGCACUAAACAUGACCUUCAAGUUCGCAACUGACCGCACAAUAUUUGGAGCUCUGUUUAAAAAGUUGGCAAAAUAUGUAAAGGUACUUAUUAUUUUUAAUGUAUCAAAGAUAAAUAAUAAGAUAUAUCUGAA